AACGCGAAGAACCUUACCAAAUCUUGACAUCCUUUGACCACUCUGGAGACAGAGCUUUCCCCUUCGGGGGACAAAGUGACAGGUGGUGCAUGGUUGUCGUCAACUCGUGUCGUGAGAUGUUGGGUUAAGUCCCGCAACGAGCGCAACCCUUAAGCUUAGUUGCCAUCAUUAAGUUGGGCACUCUAAGUUGACUGCCGGUGACAAACCGGAGGAAGGUGGGGAUGACGUCAAAUCAUCAUGCCCCUUAUGAUUUGGGCUACACACGUGCUACAAUGGACAAUACAAAGGGCAGCUAAACCGCGAGGUCAUGCAAAUCCCAUAAAGUUGUUCUCAGUUCGGAUUGUAGUCUGCAACUCGACUACAUGAAGCUGGAAUCGCUAGUAAUCGUAGAUCAGCAUGCUACGGUGAAUACGUUCCCGGGCCUUGUACACACCG
rnacentral:rRNA from 1 species